UGAGCUAGACGCCCGCAGCCUCCGCGGGACCGGAUCCGGGGCGGCGGGGGCGCUCACUCACCGCGCGCCCUCAUGUUCCCUGCGCAGGACGCUCUGCCCCGCAGCGGGCUGAACCUGAAGGAGGAGCCGCUGCUGCCCGCCGGCCUGGGCUCAGUGCGCUCCUGGAUGCAGGGCGCAGGCAUCCUGGACGCCAGCACCGCGGCGCAGAGUGGCGUGGGUCUGGCACGAGCACAUUUUGAGAAGCAGCCUCCCUCCAACCUCAGGAAAUCCAACUUCUUCCACUUCGUGCUGGCCAUGUACGACCGGCAGGGGCAGCCCGUGGAGGUGGAGCGCACAGCCUUCAUCGACUUCGUGGAAAAGGACCGAGAGCCCGGGGCGGAAAAGACUAACAAUGGGAUCCAUUACCGCCUCCGGCUGGUGUAUAACAAUGGACUUCGGACGGAGCAAGACCUCUACGUGCGUCUCAUCGACUCCAUGUCCAAGCAGGCCAUCAUCUAUGAGGGGCAGGACAAGAACCCCGAAAUGUGCCGAGUGCUGCUCACCCAUGAGAUCAUGUGCAGCCGGUGCUGUGACCGGAAGAGCUGUGGCAACCGGAAUGAGACGCCCUCAGACCCCGUCAUCAUUGACAGGUUCUUCCUCAAGUUCUUCCUCAAAUGCAACCAGAACUGCCUGAAGAAUGCAGGGAAUCCCAGAGACAUGCGCCGCUUCCAGGUGGUGGUGUCCACGACGGUGAGCGUGGACGGACACGUGCUGGCCGUGUCCGACAACAUGUUUGUGCACAACAACUCCAAGCAUGGCCGCAGGGCGCGCCGCCUGGACCCCUCCGAAGCUGCCACCCCCUGCAUCAAGGCCAUCAGCCCCGGGGAGGGCUGGACCACGGGCGGAGCCACCGUCAUUGUCAUCGGCGACAACUUCUUCGACGGGUUGCAGGUCGUGUUCGGAAACGUGCUCGUGUGGAGCGAGCUCAUCACGCCCCACGCCAUCCGGGUGCAGACGCCCCCGCGGCACAUCCCCGGGGUGGUGGAGGUGACCCUCUCCUACAAGUCCAAGCAGUUUUGCAAGGGAUCCCCCGGCCGCUUUGUCUACACAGCUCUGAACGAGCCCACCAUUGACUACGGAUUCCAGAGGCUACAGAAAGUCAUUCCCAGACACCCCGGAGACCCCGAGAGGCUGCCCAAGGAAGUGCUGCUGAAGCGGGCGGCCGACUUGGCAGAAGCCCUGUACGGAGUGCCCGGCAGUAACCAGGUAUGGCGCCUCCGCCCUCCCAGCGCCGCCGGGACCGGGGCUCCCCAUCACGCUGCGCCCUCGGCUGCCCCGGCCGUGCCCAGCUCUUGUCUUCGCAGGAGCUCCUCCUGAAGCGCGCGGCGGACGUGGCCGAGGCUCUGUACAGCACCCCCCGCGCACCCGGGCCGCUCGGACCCCUGGCCCCGAGCCACCCACACCCCGCCGUCGUGGGCAUCAACGCCUUCAGCAGCCCGCUGGCCAUCGCCGUCGGGGACGCCACCCCGGGGCCCGAGCCGGGCUACGCGCGCAGCUGCAGCAGCGCGUCCCCCCGCGGGUUCGCGCCCAGCCCCGGCUCGCAGCAGAGCGGUUACGGCAGCGGCCUCGGAGCUGGCCUGGGCGGCUACGGCGCGCCGGGCGUGGCCGGCCUCGGCGUGCCUGGGUCCCCCAGCUUCCUCAAUGGCUCCACCGCCACCUCGCCCUUCGCCAUCAUGCCCUCUAGCCCCCCGCUGGCGGCUGCCUCCUCCAUGUCCCUCCCGGCCGCUGCCCCCACAACCAGCGUCUUCUCCUUCUCGCCUGUCAACAUGAUCUCCGCCGUCAAACAGAGGAGCGCCUUCGCCCCCGUGCUGCGCCCCCCGAGCUCCCCACCCCAGGCCUGCCCCAGAGCCCACGGAGAGGGGCUUCCAGCCCAGAGAGUGACAGGCAGGUGGCUCCCCAGGUGGCACAUGGCUUAUGGCUCCUUUUUCCUUGACUACCGCAGACCAGUCUUUUGAGGAUUCUGACAAGUUCCACUCUCCAGCCCGGGGGCUUCAGGGCCUGGCAUACUCCUAAUUACGGUCUGCAGCUGUUCCCAUGGAGCCCCGACUGGAGGUCCCUCUGGGAUUCACAGCCACACCCUGGAUGGUGGCACAGACAGAUGCAGGGCCAGGGCCAUGGGCAGACCUCAACCCGUGAGCUGAACGGGGAGAGGCCUUCACCCCAUGCUCAAGCCUCCCCGCUAGCAGCCCCACAGGCUUCUCUCGCCUCCCUGUCUUGGGGUGGUCAGAAGCCCCAGCACUGUGCAGAUGCUCUUGGCAGGACAGCGUCCCAGGGAGGUGCUGGGAUUCUGGGCCUCACUGUCUGGGUCUUGGUUCCUCUGAAAGAGAUGGAUCUUGUGCAGACCAGGGACGUCAAGUGAGGGGAGCAUGGGAUGGGGACCGUGGGAAAGAGGACAGCUCAGGGAGAAGUGACCUGGAAAGGUCCUGUUUGCAUCUGACCCAUCUCAACUGGCCCAGCAUCCCAACUUCUCUGCAGCGAAAGGGUGGCGCCCCGCAGCGUCGGGAGGCCUGCCCGGGCUCCCGUGGAGCUUCCAACAGCUGCUUGGUCCCGCAGCUGCCCCCACUUCCUUUGAGACCUGCACUCUCAUGCUUGCCGCAUCAUGCCUCCCUGUGGGGGCUUUGGGCAUGGAGGAGGCAGAAGAGGGGGUGCCAGGCCUCCUGUAUUUGGGGUCUUCCCCCAGUGGAUGUCUCAUGGACUCUGGCCCCACACACUCACAAUGACUCUGGCUGGCCCCAUGCAGUGGGCCCGGCCGCCCCCCAGGUGGUCUCACAUUCUGCUCUGCUAAGUUUGGAGAAAACAGAACAAUAAACCAGAUGCAGGUG
rnacentral:sRNA from 1 species